ACACCUCCUUAAAACCGUUAUUGAAAAUCUGACUUGAGAAGAUUAAUACACAUCUUAAAAUUAUUGUUAACGCCAUUUUUAGGCAUCUGUAGGCUGAGCUGGCACAAGCAUUUCCCAGCUUGCACUUCUUCUAUGCCUUUCCAGUCACCUGCACCAUAUUCCACAUGAAAUACCUGGAGAUGUUAUACAGCAUGAUCAUAUCUCUUAUUUCCUGUAAUCAUUGAAAAACACCAGCAACAGACAUUUUUCUCCUUGUACAGAGUAGGAAACAAGUUCAGAGAGCUGAGGUGACUUGCUUGACAUCUGACAGCAACUAGAAAUCUGAGCUCUCUGGACCAUGUUCAUGCUGGAAGGCUUUCAGGGAAAGCCUGUGCCAGGCAUUUUCAUGGACCGACCUAAACUGUGAGAAAGUACCUUGAAGAUGAUUGGUUGGCUUUGUUAUUUAUUCAUGUUUUUAUGUAUUUCUAAAACAUGUAAUGAUAAUCUGGCUGCUUCACACCAGAGAGUUUUUUUCUUUUUCUUUUGAGAUGGAGUCUCGCUCUGUCACCCAGGCAGAAGUGCAGCGGCAUGAUCUCGACUCACUGUAACCUCCGCCUCCCGGGUUCAAGCAAUUCUCCUGCCUCAGCCUCUGGAGUGGCUGGGACUACAGGCGCACGCUGCCACACCGGGCUAAUUUUUUGUAUUUUAGUACAGGUGGGGUUUCGUCGUGUUGCCCAGGCUGGUCAUGAACUCCUGAGCUCAGGCAAUCCGCCCACCUCGGCCUCCCAAAGUGCUGGGAUCACAGGCAUAAGCCACCGUGCCUGGCCACCAGAGAGUUUUUCAGAGCAGUCUGUUUUGCCUUCUCAAGCAAGUCAGGGAAAGGAGAGAAAGAGAUGGGCAGCAGUGUGCAAUUUGCACAUGAGCCUAUUAUGUCUGCUGUGUCUAUGCAUUUCACUGUCUACUUUUGUCAUCUUCCUCUUUUUCUUAUGGAUUUGUAAUUUCCUACUGAUAUAAGAACAAGUGACAUCAACCUCUUUCUGACCUAUAAAUUGCAAAUUUCCUUUUCUCAGUUUCAUUUGCAAUCCUAAUUUGUGUGUGUGUGUGUUUUAUAAAGAAAUUUGCAAAGUUUUAUGUUGUCUAAGUCAUCAGCCUUUUGUGGAUAUUUGACAUUCUUAUCUGCCCUAUAUCAAGAUUAUGAAGAUAUUUUAAUUGACAAGUUAUUUUUACAUUUAAACUUGUGCUAUUAUUAGUGUCUUUUGAUGUAAGGAGUAAGUUAGGAAUCAAGUUUCGUUUUUGUCUGCCAAAUGCUUGGUUUUGUUAUACUACUGAUUAAAAUAUCCAAAAUUUCUCCAUUGUUUAAAAUGCUAAAUUCUCACAUACAUAUAUUUCUUUUUUCUCAUUGUAAAUAAUAUGUCUAUUUAUUCUGCUUAUUCCUCACUAUUUAACUUUUGUACUACAGCUACCAUUUUAAAACACAUUAAGGAAAAUCUCACUACCCUUCUUUUAAGUUAUUUUCCUGGUCAGGAUGUUAGAUUGGUGUCCACCCCAACUUAAGGCAGAUAAUUUUACAUUUUGAAUAGUUUACUUCCUGUUAUUAGCAGGAGGGAUAAAAAAGAAAAUUGCUUUAGGAAGUAGAUAAUUUGGCUUUUAUUUACUAUGGAAGGUAGCUUUCUGCUGAGAACUCAUUCAUCGGUGCUUAGUGUCCCCAGGAGUAAGUACUGGGCUUAAAUGCUUAGCAUCUCAGAGUUGGAAGGAUCUUAGAGAUCAUGUAAUUCAGGGUUGUUAUUUUCCAGAUGAGGAAGUUAAGCUCCAGGAAUAAGAAGGAACUUGCCCCAAAAUUCAUAGGCAAGUAUUCUCACUAGAGCCACACUAAAAGAAAAUAAAAAUGUGACAAAAGAAAAUAUUGGGGUAUUUUUUAAAAUGAACAUUUCAAUAUAAGAUUCUCAAUGAUUUUUGUGGUUUCCAAACAAAAACUUUUUUAUCCAUCUAUUCCAAAUGCAUUUUUAUAAAGUACUCUCUAGGCACUCUCCUAAGCACUGAAGGUACCAAAACUCCUCGCCUCUUCUCAGAAGAAUUAAUUACAUUGCUCUGCAAUGCUCUUUUACUCCACUGCCCAUUCAGUGGUUAAAACCUGGGUCCGGUUAUAUUUAAACACUUUGUUUCAAGGUGUGUCUCCCCCAGACAUAUUUUAAGCAUGAGUUGUUCCUUAUUAUUAUAUUUUUUUCUAUAAUUUUAUACUUUCCUUUUCACUUACUUCUCCACUCAGAGAUCUUGCAUUCUCCAUUUAUUUACCAUCUUAACCCUAAUGAAGUUCCACAAUUUUGUGGAAAGUUCCUUUCCCAUUCUUCUCAUCUUUUCCAUGUCCUCUAGCUCUCAGUCUGAGCCUUCCCACUUGCAGUGUGAAGAGCUGGCCCAGCCAUUGUCUAAAGUUUCACAAAGAGGUAGUGCUUUGGUUGUUUGACGCCUCCCCAUCGCUUGUGUAACCUCUUGUCCAGAGACAGAGCUAUGGUUGUUUGACACCCUUCACAUUGCUGGUACAUCUGAGUGCCCGCUUAGCACUUGGUGGUAAAGUAGCUUCCUCAUGACCUUCCUGGGAAGCAGUGACUCUACUAAGCACUCCAGCAUGUUAGUAGGCUCCGUUUCCUAAAACUUUUGCUUAAUAGCCAAGUCCACUGCAGAAAAAAAACACAUUUACAAAUGCUAAUGGGGUACCUAAUGCUUGUGCUUGGGCCACUGCCAGGCACAUGAGGCUAGUCUGGAGGUUGCUGACUCAAUGGUGUUUCUGGUUCACUAGCACCAGUGUGGUCAGAACAUGGUCAGGCUAUCAGCGGCACAUUCAGAAACAAUCAUUUAAGAAUGAGGAAGAGGUUGAGCAAGCCCCGCUGCUGUCCACAGGUGGGAAAGGAGGUAACUGAGUGCUUGACACUUUGCAGAUUAGGGAGGAUUUUGUACUGGGCUGUAUGUUCCAGACCACCUAUUUUUAAUUCUUCAUUCUUAGGCAGGAAUGUAGUUGAACCAAGUAGAACAUUUUAUUCUCACGCACAUCUCACUGCCUCUUCCCUGUGGCAUGUGCACAACUCUUAGAAGCUUGUAGGUCCACAGAUUCCAGAUCUGAGAAGUGACUUUGGGAGAUCAUCUAACCCCAUCACAGAGGAGGUUAUAUUCCUAGAUCCAAAGUACAUUUUCUCUGGCUCUAACUUGUUAAGUGGAAACCAUGACUUGAACUAAAUCACCCCAAUUUUGACCCCUACAUGGGGUAGGCUCAGUGCAAGGGCCACAGAGGCACUGUUUUUUCUUGUGUGUGUGCUGUCAUUAAAAUUCUCCCAAUUCCUUCAUCAGAGACAGAUUUGUUUCUGAUCCCCAAGGACAUGUGGGCUGUAACUACAACUUGUGCUUAAUGCAUGAGUUGAAACUCUCAAUCAAGUUCGGGAAGAAAAAUCAAAGGCUUUUACAGAAGAAAUCACAUGUAUUGAAAAACAACUGAAACAUCUGUUUUUUAAAAAAAACUAGAUAUCUUGUUUGGUUUUUGAAUAUUAAGGAAGUUGGUCUUUGACAUGAGAAGGGAAGAAUUAGGGAGACAAGAAAGAAAAGGUGGAAUAAAUUGAAGAGAAGGAGGCAAUUUUUGCAUUGUAGUAACUGACAGAGAGUUCUGCAAACGUAAGGGACAUCUACCAGCCUUACUGGGUAAUGCUAUUUUGACAUUUCUCAUGUGCCCAUGGUUUCUUCAUUUGUAAAGUGAGUAGUUUGUGUUAAAUGAACCCUGAAGGCUUUAGUAAUUGUUAAUCAAGGCACUUAGAUGAGGAGUCAAAAUGCUAAUUAUUUACAAAUACACGAUUUUGUGAUUGAAAAACUGUUGAGAAGUAAUCACAAAAAAAUCAAAACCAGUAAGAGUUCAACCUGUAGGCUAGUGAUAAAUUCAAUAUACAAAAUCGAUAGCUUUUUCUAGCAAACAGUAGCCAAUUAUAAAAUACAAUGAAAGAAGAAUGUGACUCAAAUAAAAAUAAUUAUUUGUUAGUUAUUUUUAUAAUUAAGUUACAAAAUGUUUUAGAUCUAUAUGAAGAAACGUCUUGAAGAGUACCAAAAAGAUAUAUUAAAAUGAGACAAAAAUAUUUGAAGUAAAAUCCUAUUCUUAGAACGCUCAAUAGUCCACAUAACAGUUUUUUCUUAAACAAAACCUAUAGUUUCAGUUUCAUGUCAGUUAAAAAAGCAAUGAAAUUAUUUUAACUUGAUAAAGUAAUUUAAAAGUUAUUUUGCAAGAGUGAAUCGUAGAGGGUAGCCAUGAAUUCUGAUGAAGACUGGUAGAAGCUACAUUCAUUAAAAUUGCAUGGUACUGGCACAGGGAGAGACAGGAGAGUAGAGGAGAAUGGAAUCCACUGGAUGAGCUAGGAAUGCCUGGGAAUUUGAUACGCGGCAAGGUUGGUGUUUGCCCUGCAGUGAGUGUGCAAAAUGUGCUGUGUGUUCUCUGUAGGAUGUUUGGCUGUCCUCCAGCAUCAAGAUGGGCCUAGCAUUUUGAAUUCCUUUGAAUCCUGCAUAAUUUUGUUUCUUUACUGUACAGACUCAGAUUUCUAAGACAAUGUGACAUGAACCCAGACAUGGGCCUUUUGUAUGAGAUAGCAUAUGGCGAGCGAUGACAUUUCUGCAGGCUCAGGAAAUUUAUACUUCUGGAUGCAGCAAGAAGCAGUUUCUAUGUCAUUGCUGGGAAGACAAGCCUGCCAUGACUUUUCAGAACAGCCUUUAUCUCAAGGCUGAAAAACUAACAGGAACACAGAAAUAAUUAGGUAAACACACAAAACAAAUGUCUUUUAGGGAAAUCAAACAUGAACUACAUAAAAAGUGAUCACUGUUCAUAUUUUGGCUACUAGAUGAGCAAACACAAAAUAAAAAGCAAGCCAGAAACAAUUCUUGCAAUACCUAUGAUAAAGGAUGUUAAAUAUGCAGAAUUUUAGAAAUCAGUAAGUACAGAUGAGUGACCCAGCAGAAAAAUAGGUAAUAAGAAAGAAAAAUAACCAAUGAACAUUCGAAAAGAGCUUAUUCUCAGAAACAAUUUUUACAAGGUACGGUGAGACAAACAGGAAUAUUAUAUUCACUCAUAUGAUUGACAAAGAUUAAAACAAUUGAUAAUAAUUAGUAUUGGUAAGAAUAUUCAGUUAAAAGAUACUUCCAUAUAUUGCAGUAAGAGGGAAAAAGUGGGUGAACAGUUUCUAAAGUGGGCAAUUGGCCAGGUGAGGAGGCUCACACCUUUAAUCCCAGCAUUCUGGGAGGCUGAGGUGGGUGGAUCACGAAGUCAGGAGUUCGAGAUAAGCCUGGCCAACAUAGUGAAACCCCAUCUCUACUAAAAAUACAAAAAUUAGCUGAGUGUGGUGGCAUGUGCCUGUAGUCCCAGCUACCCGGAGGCUGAGGCAGGAGAACUGCUUGAACCUGGGAGGCAGAGCUUGCAGUGAGCUGAGAUCACACCACUGUUCUCCAGCCUUGGGCGACAGAGUGAGACUCCGUCUCAAAAACAAAUAAAUAAAGGAAUAAAAAUAAAACUUGAAAUAUGCAUAGCUGUUGACAUUCCAUUUCUAGGAAUUUUUACAAAGUAGUAGGCAGAUACAUUUUUAAAGAUAUAUGCACAGCCAUAUAAAUAUGAGGCAAAUACAUAUGAACAAAUAUUAACCUCUGAGAUAAUAUUUAAAUAUGAGAAACAUGCAAUGGGGCUGGCUGUGGAGUAUGACCCUGUAUUUGCAAUUUAAGACAGAUAUUUACACGAUUUAUUUGCAAGGGGAAUGAAUUAAAGUGCUUUGAAUGGUAAAUGGUGGUUAUAGUUGAAGGGAGAAGGUAUGGGGGUUUCUACCUUCAUUUUUUUUUUUUUUUUUUACAUUUCUCUAUUAUUUGGAAUUUUGUAAUAUGUGUUAUUUUUUAAAAUUAGAACAAUAAUAGAUUUAAGCGCAAGCGAAUUACAACAUUCAAAUUCUAGGACUGACCUGGGUUUAUCUUUCUACUAACUUUUAAUCAGUUCUUUCUUCCUUUAAUGAAGAUUCUCCAGGGAGGUUGUAACUAACCAACUGCCAUACUGAAUCAUCCUUUUAAGAAGUCUGAAACAUCGAGCCAACUUGCCUCAAAAUCUUUUCCAAUUACUUUCCUCACCUCUGAAGGACCCUCCUUAUUCUACUUUUAUGACAGCUUGACUCUUGACCCACUACUUGCCUACAGACCUCUACAUCACCUUUGCACCAUUCUCCUACAAGAUGGUCAGAGGAGAGCGUCAUACCCACGUGUUGAGGAAAACCAGGGAAAGUGUCAGCUGGGAAUUAGGGAGCAGGAGAGGUGGACACUGCUGUCACGGAGGAGCAGGAUAUUGGAGAAGUCUUCAAUAACCUCAGCUCUUUAACAAUGAGACUCCACGUUUUCCUCACUGCUCUUUUUGCCAUCUUCCAGGUACUACCCGGCAUCACUAGGGCACUCCAUUUUGAAAGACCCUGCUACCUUAGAGGCGGGAUCUGUCUGAAGCGCGGAACACCGAACUGUGAGCCUUUCAGAGGACCCUGCAGAGCUUUCACUGUUUGCUGUAAAAUACGGAGAAGCUGAUGGAGGAACCCGGCAAGGAACACAGGCGCGGGAUCUGAAGCAUGGCUCCUUUAGUCCAAAUGAGAGCAAACAUUACUCAAGUCCACAUAAUUCAUUAUCAUUAGGACUGAUUAAAGAAAGAUAUGUUUCCCAUGAAGGGGAAGGCACUGGGUAGGAGAAAAUUAUAAUUAAACUUAUAUUAUGUUUAAA